rnacentral:rRNA from 1 species
UGAAGAGUUUGAUCAUGGCUCAGAUUGAACGCUGGCGGCAGGCCUAACACAUGCAAGUCGAACGGUAACAGGAAGCAGCUUGCUGCUUUGCUGACGAGUGGCGGACGGGUGAGUAAUGUCUGGGAAACUGCCUGAUGGAGGGGGAUAACUACUGGAAACGGUGGCUAAUACCGCAUAACGUCGCAAGACCAAAGAGGGGGACCUUCGGGCCUCUUGCCAUCAGAUGUGCCCAGAUGGGAUUAGCUUGUUGGUGAGGUAACGGCUCACCAAGGCGACGAUCCCUAGCUGGUCUGAGAGGAUGACCAGCCACACUGGAACUGAGACACGGUCCAGACUCCUACGGGAGGCAGCAGUGGGGAAUAUUGCACAAUGGGCGCAAGCCUGAUGCAGCCAUGCCGCGUGUAUGAAGAAGGCCUUCGGGUUGUAAAGUACUUUCAGCGGGGAGGAAGGUGUUGUGGUUAAUAACCGCAGCAAUUGACGUUACCCGCAGAAGAAGCACCGGCUAACUCCGUGCCAGCAGCCGCGGUAAUACGGAGGGUGCAAGCGUUAAUCGGAAUUACUGGGCGUAAAGCGCACGCAGGCGGUCUGUCAAGUCGGAUGUGAAAUCCCCGGGCUCAACCUGGGAACUGCAUUCGAAACUGGCAGGCUUGAGUCUUGUAGAGGGGGGUAGAAUUCCAGGUGUAGCGGUGAAAUGCGUAGAGAUCUGGAGGAAUACCGGUGGCGAAGGCGGCCCCCUGGACAAAGACUGACGCUCAGGUGCGAAAGCGUGGGGAGCAAACAGGAUUAGAUACCCUGGUAGUCCACGCCGUAAACGAUGUCUACUUGGAGGUUGUGCCCUUGAGGCGUGGCUUCCGGAGCUAACGCGUUAAGUAGACCGCCUGGGGAGUACGGCCGCAAGGUUAAAACUCAAAUGAAUUGACGGGGGCCCGCACAAGCGGUGGAGCAUGUGGUUUAAUUCGAUGCAACGCGAAGAACCUUACCUGGUCUUGACAUCCACGGAAGAAUUCAGAGAUGGAUUUGUGCCUUCGGGAACCGUGAGACAGGUGCUGCAUGGCUGUCGUCAGCUCGUGUUGUGAAAUGUUGGGUUAAGUCCCGCAACGAGCGCAACCCUUAUCCUUUGUUGCCAGCGGUCCGGCCGGGAACUCAAAGGAGACUGCCAGUGAUAAACUGGAGGAAGGUGGGGAUGACGUCAAGUCAUCAUGGCCCUUACGACCAGGGCUACACACGUGCUACAAUGGCGCAUACAAAGAGAAGCGACCUCGCGAGAGCAAGCGGACCUCAUAAAGUGCGUCGUAGUCCGGAUUGGAGUCUGCAACUCGACUCCAUGAAGUCGGAAUCGCUAGUAAUCGUGGAUCAGAAUGCCACGGUGAAUACGUUCCCGGGCCUUGUACACACCGCCCGUCACACCAUGGGAGUGGGUUGCAAAAGAAGUAGGUAGCUUAACCUUCGGGAGGGCGCUUACCACUUUGUGAUUCAUGACUGGGGUGAAGUCGUAACAAGGUAACCGUAGGGGAACCUGCGGUUGGAUCACCUCCUUACCUGAAAGAA